GGGAUUGUGACUCAGAGGUAGAGUACUUGCCUAGCACGCAUGAGGCACUGGGUUCAAUCCUCAGCACCA
rnacentral:tRNA from 1 species